GAAUCUUGCUGCUCCCCAUGCACCCCAAAGGCUCCUGGUAGCACACGGCACUCGGAGUCACUCAGCAUCACGUGGCACUUGGACCAGCCUGGUCCUGCAGGCAGAUCUGGUGCUCACCUGCCCUUCUUGCUGAAUUAACUUCCCAAGCCUCUUAGCAAUACCUCUGCUGCCCUUGGGAAAGUUCACAGUAAUUGGCAAGGCUCAGAUUCUGAGACAAUGGGUACCCCUUCUUACUGAAAAUGCCUUGGAGGUUGGCACCCUCUGGCCACUGCUGUUCUGGUGAUGCUCUAG
rnacentral:lncRNA from 1 species